AUCCUAAAGAAAGCCAGGGAUUUCUAUAGCAAGACUGGUGUGAACACUGCCAAUGUGGCAGUGGUCAGAGAUUGCUACUCCGCGGCAGGAAGCGCCUGUGGUCCAGAGGGUCGGGCAGUUAUGGACUUGAGAGGGACUGGGCUCGCUUUGAACGAAUCGAUUACUUGGCGCAUAGCUUACGGGGUUUCUAUUUGGAACCCGAUUGUCACACGGUCAUCGAAUCAUCAGCUAAUGGAGAUACGCUGUGGUGGCGUAUGUGGCGUUUGCAAGGCACCUGGGUUGGUCCUCCUCACAUUGCUGGAUUCUGACGCCCCAGAAGAAAGUAGUGCCUUAACACCAUCCUGUGAUCAACACCUGAACAAUGUGUCUACAUAACAGUGCUCUAACAUCUUGUGAUCAACACCAUAACAAUGUUUCUACAUAACAGUGCUCUAACAUCUUGUGAUCAACACCAUAACAAUGUGUCUACAUAACAGUGCUCUAUCAUCUUGUGAUCAACACCAUAACAAUGUAUCUACAUAACAGUGCUCUAUCAUCUUGUGAUCAACACCAUAACAAUGUAUCUACAUAACAGUGCUCUAUCAUCUUAUGAUCAACACCAUAACAAUGUGUCUACAUAACAGUGCUCUAUCAUCUUGUGAUCAACACCAUAACAAUGUGUCUACAUAACAGUGCUCUAACAUCUUGUGAUCAACACCUGAACAAUGUGUCUACAUAACAGUGCUCUAACAUCUUGUGAUCAACACCUGAACAAUGUGUCUACAUAACAGUGCUCUAACAUCUUGUGAUCAACACCAUAACAAUGUGUCUACAUAACAGUGCUCUACCAUCUUGUGAUCAACACCAUAACAAUGUGUCUACAUAACAGUGCUCUAACAUCUUGUGAUCAACACCAUAACAAUGUGUCUACAUAACAGUGCUCUAACAUCUUGUGAUCAACACCAUAACAAUGUGUCUACAUAACAGUGCUCUAACAUCUUGUGAUCAACACCAUAACAAUGUGUCUACAUAACAGUGCUCUAACAUCUUGUGAUUAGCACCUGAACAAUGUGUCUACAUAACAGUGCUCUAUCAUCUUGUGAUCAACACCAUAACAAUGUGUCUAUAUAACAGUGCUCUAACAUCUUGUGAUCAACACCAUAACAAUGUGUCUAUAUAACAGUGCUCUAACAUCUUGUGAUCAACACCAUAACAAUGUAUCUACAUAACAGUGCUCUAUCAUCUUGUGAUCAACACCAUAGCAAUGUGUCUACAUAACAGUGCUCUAACAUCUUGUGAUCAACACCUGAACAAUGUGUCUACAUAACAGUGCUCUAACAUCUUGUGAUCAACACCAUAACAAUGUAUCUACAUAACAGUGCUCUAUCAUCUUGUGAUCAACACCAUAGCAAUGUGUCUACAUAACAGUGCUCUAACAUCUUGUGAUCAACACCAUAACAAUGUGUCUACAUAACAGUGCUCUAACAUCUUGUGAUCAACACCAUAACAAUGUGUCUA